rnacentral:tRNA from 1 species
GCGGAGGUGCCGGAGUGGCCAAACGGGUCAGGCUUAGGACCUGAUGGCUUAGUGCCUACGCAGGUUCGAAUCAAGCUUUUUGAAAAGUUUGUCGAAAGUCCUGCCCUCCGCA